rnacentral:tRNA from 1 species
GACAGCAUGUCCGAGUGGUUAAGGAGUGUGAUUAGAAAUCACUUGGGAACUUCCCGCGUAGGUUCGAAUCCUGCUGCUGUCG